AUGUGGAGCUACUGGGGCAGACUGGAUCGGGAGGAGAGUACGAGGCCCAGACAGGGUUCGGCUGGAGUAACGGAGUGAUCCUGCAGAUCUUGGACAUUUUCGGACGUGAUAUCACUGUGCGACGAACGUGAAAGCUCUAGUUCGCCUGUCUAAAGGUAUCUCUCUACUCUCCACAUUCCGUCCAAGCGCAGCAGCCCGCAAGUGCCAUCAGCCUCCAAGUGCCUCCUCCAUAGUGCCUCGUACCAAGUGUCGGGGGUCAUACAUCCAGUUAAAAAAAAAACGUCAAACGUUGUUAAAAUAAUUAUUUAAUUACCUUAUUAUUUUAAGAGCAAUUGUGAUAUUGAUGUAACAAUAAACUGUGUUAGGUUAUGAUUCUUAAA